GAGGAGUCAGGUUUGGGAGGAUAAAGCUUCUGUGUUUUCCUACUUGCAUUCCACGCAUGAAAUGCCGGAAGAAGACCUGUCUAGUCAAAAGCAGGUCAGACGGAGGCUGAAAGUGGUUGCUGAUGGUCAACACGGUAUCGUAAGGAAAAAAAGUGCAACAUAAUCAGCAGUCAGAGAGAUGGAAAAGGAGAGAGAUGUUGUGAACAGUGUUGAUUUUGUUUUGGCAGAUAUGAACCUACACAGCAGGCCAUCAAGCAAAGUAAGUGAAGUAUUAAUCUAUAUUGCAGUGCACACACAAUAAGACCAGAGAUAUGCUCUCUUUAACAUCUGGUUUGGAUUAUGGGCUUACUUAUACAGGCAAUGUAUGGUGUAGCAAGUUUAUGCAUUGAAUGUUUAAUGCUGAUGACCCUAAACCACUGACAGAUGUUCAAUGCAACAUGAUGACUACAUUUUUGCAUUCAUUUUAGAACAGUGCAGCAAAAUUGCUAAAUACAUACAGUAAAUGACUUCAAUUAAGAGAACAGAUUUUGGUUCUGCUUGUUUAUACAUUUUGUAAUUAUAAUUCCCUGAAACACUUGUUAAUUAGAAGGCAGCGAAAUAAAAACAAAGAUAUAAUUUCCUCUGUUUAUAUUAAUGUAACUCAAAAAUGAAAUCUGAUUUAUAGUAUUAUGUUAUAUUUAUGCACUGAAGGAUUAUAAAAAGAGGCAAUUAGCUCAAUAACAACUUCAAAGCAUCAGCUUUGCAACCAGGAGAAAUGCAACAGCAGCAACCGAACAAUGAUUAGCAUCGUAACAUUGUUUAGAGUUGCUGCCUCCUCCCAAUGCACAAUGGAGAGAAGAACGAAUCCCAAACAACGAGCAUAAGCAAAUCCCACCUAUCAUGUGCUGCACUGUUUACAAACUAUCAGAUCAGCAUAUCAGCAGGUAUGUACACAACAUGUUCAUUCAAGCUUUGUAAGCAAAUGCAUUCUGGGACACAGAAUUCAUUAAUUCACUUCUCCGUGCGGCUUCUAUAAGCGCAACCUUGGUGUGAUGAGAAACACAGAUGAAAAAACACCUUGUCCCUUUGCUGUAGAUCAGCGAUGGGAGAUAAUUAGUCUCCAUAGCUGGGCUGCUGUGACUGGCUACACAUGUUCCAGCUGUCACAGGUGUAUUCCUGGAGACUGAGGCAAUGACAGCCAUGACGGGACCAUCUGGGCCUGUUCCUAUCACGGGAGGAUGCCUUGCCAAUGACAGUCUCCAUUCUGCUUGAGAAGGAGGCACUGAGUAUGUGUGUGUGUAUUUGUGUGUGUGUACGCAUGUUGACUGACUUUACAUGUGUCCCACAGGACCCCAUUUUAAGGUAUUCCAGGCUUUCUUUGUGGAUCAAACACUGUACUGAUCUCUGUGGGGCAGCAAUCAUGCAGGCUGCUGAUUGUGUGUCAAUGUGUAAAUAUGUUUUGGUUCACAUUCAAACCCAAGGUAUGUGCAUGGGCUGUAUGUCUGUGUGCAGGUGUUUGUGUUUACUUUAAUCUCAAAUCUUUUGACAUUUUCACUCAGUUAUGGGUUAUCCAAAUCUGUACACUUUGAAUAUACCAUUUAGUUUCAUUCCCAACAACAUUGAACAGUUGCAAGGUGUUAAAACCUGUUAUACUUCACCCCAAAGUGGAACUUUGAUGUUAAUUUACUCACCUUUAGGCACUGGAGAUGUACGUGACUUACUUUCCUCAGUAGAACAUUAACAUUGAUUUUUAGCUGAAUUCAUGGCCCUUGGUGAUUCAUAAACUGGCACCAUUGUUGUUUACAACAGAGGGAGGCUGCAUGUAAACAACAAUGGCGUCAAUUCACACUCAAUUUACUCUGCAUGAGUGUUCAUCAUGUGACAGAGGGCUCGAGCUCCAAAACCCUUUGCAUGAAGCUGUGGAUUACAGUGACAGAACCCAUUGACUUCCAUUUAAAGAAUAACCAAGAAUCACAGCUUCAGCUAAAAAUCAUCUUUAAUGUUCUGCUGUAUAAAGAAAAAUUGCUACUUGAAGCAACAUGAGGGUUGUGUGUCCCAGCCUAAGGUUUAUAAACAAACACACACAGAGACUCCAACUGUCACGAUCCUUUCAUGCAAGAAGUGGAUCAUUGAUCCCAGGAUCAAAUGUAGUCUGUUCCUCAUGACUCCAAGCGCAUCCGUAAUCCCUGAUUUCUUCUAUAUUUCACAUGGCGAGGACUCAGCCCUCUGCAUCCAUGCUCACACUUCAAAGCAUUCCUUUCAUGUGUGUUUUGAGUAAGUAUGUGAAUAUCACUUGCAUACGUGUUGCAGUGGUGGCAUUGUUGACAGAAUCAGAGGUAGGCAUAAGGUUGUGGCAGUCAAUAAAAAUAUAGAAAACACUGCACUGCACUUUGUAAAUGUUAAAUAAGCAAUUAAAGACUCAAAAUAAUGCAUUGCUUGGUUUAGAGUCAAAGACUGAAUCUAAUUGGCUUGAUGAGAGACAACAUAUGCUUGUAAGCAGUCAUACUGACUGUACUGCAGCAUAUUGUGAAAUCUAACCUGAUGUUUUUCUGAUCAGCUACAAUGAGGUAAAGAAGGCCCAGAAGAUGCAAUGACCAGUUGCCCAA
ensembl:lncRNA